GCUGCUUACCAUGCAGUCGAACGGCAGCGCGGACUUCGGUCUGGCGGCGAGUGGCGAACGGGUGAGUAAUGCAUCGGAACGUACCUUUCAGUGGGGGAUAACGUAACGAAAGUUACGCUAAUACCGCAUAUUCUGUGAGCAGGAAAGCAGGGGAUCGCAAGACCUUGCGCUGAUGGAGCGGCCGAUGUCAGAUUAGCUAGUUGGUGGGGUAACGGCUCACCAAGGCGACGAUCUGUAGCGGGUCUUAGAGGAUGAUCCGCCACACUGGAACUGAGACACGGUCCAGACUCCUACGGGAGGCAGCAGUGGGGAAUUUUGGACAAUGGGCGCAAGCCUGAUCCAGCCAUGCCGCGUGAGUGAAGAAGGCCUUCGGGUUGUAAAGCUCUUUCGGCCGGGAAAAAAUCGCUUGGGUUAAUACCCUGAGUGGAUGAUGGUACCGGAAUAAGAAGCACCGGCUAACUACGUGCCAGCAGCCGCGGUAAUACGUAGGGUGCGAGCGUUAAUCGGAAUUACUGGGCGUAAAGCGUGCGCAGGCGGUUUUGUAAGACAGGCGUGAAAUCCCCGGGCUCAACCUGGGAACUGCGUUUGUGACUGCAAGGCUAGAGUAUGGCAGAGGGGGGUGGAAUUCCACGUGUAGCAGUGAAAUGCGUAGAGAUGUGGAGGAACACCAAUGGCGAAGGCAGCCCCCUGGGCCAAUACUGACGCUCAUGCACGAAAGCGUGAGGAGCAAACAGGAUUAGAUACCCUGGUAGUCCACGCCCU
rnacentral:rRNA from 1 species